UUCCUACGGGGGGCAGCAGUGGGGAAUAUUGGACAAUGGGCGCAAGCCUGAUCCAGCCAUGCCGCGUGAGUGAUGAAGGCCUUAGGGUUGUAAAGCUCUUUUGUCCGGGAAGAUAAUGACUGUACCCGAAGAAUAAGCCCCGGCUAACUUCGUGCCAGCAGCCGCGGUAAUACGAAGGGGGCUAGCGUUGCUCGGAAUCACUGGGCGUAAAGGGCGCGUAGGCGGACUCUUAAGUCGGGGGUGAAAGCCCAGGGCUCAACCCUGGAAUUGCCUUCGAUACUGAGAGUCUUGAGUUCGGAAGAGGUUGGUGGAACUGCGAGUGUAGAGGUGAAAUUCGUAGAUAUUCGCAAGAACACCAGUGGCGAAGGCGGCCAACUGGUCCGAUACUGACGCUGAGGCGCGAAAGCGUGGGGAGCAAACAGGAUUAGAUACCCUGGUAGUCAG
rnacentral:rRNA from 2 species